rnacentral:rRNA from 1 species
UACGAAGGGGGCUAGCGUUGCUCGGAAUCACUGGGCGUAAAGCGCGUGUAGGCGGCUUUGCAAGUCGGGUGUGAAAGCCCUCAGCUCAACUGAGGAAGUGCGCCCGAAACUGCAGAGCUUGAGUACCGGAGAGGAUGGUGGAAUUCCCCAAGUAGAGGUGAAAUUCGUAGAUAUGGGGAGGAACACCGGUGGCGAAGGCGACCAUCUGGACGGAUACUGACGCUGAGACGCGAAAGCGUGGGUAGCAAACAGG